UCACGCCUCUGCGUUGUGUGCCGCGAUCGUCCGCUCCAUACGUCCUUAAUCAUAGCUCGGUCGAGACGUUGAGGUUCUAUCAAGUCUCGAAACGUCCGCUCCAUACGUCCUUAAUCAUUGCUCGGUCGAGACGUUAAGGUUCUAGCAAGUCUCGAAACGCCCGCCCCACUCGUCCUUAAUCAUAGCUCGGUCGAGACGUUAAGGUUAUCAAGUCUCGAAACGUCCGACACAUACGUCCUCAAUCAUAUCUCGGUCGAGACGUUGAGGUUCAUUCAAGUCUCGAAAAGCCCGCCCCAUACGUCCUUAAUCAUAUCUCGGUCGAGACGUUAAGGUUCUAUCAAGGCUCGAAACUUCCGCUCCAUACGUCCUUAAUCAUAUCUCGGUCGAGACUUUAGGGUUCUAUCAAGUCUCCAAACGCCCGCUUAAUACGUCCUUAAUCAUAUCUCGGUCGAGACGUUAAGGUUCUAUCUCGUCCCGAAACAUUUGUACUCUUUUCAUCAUAAUUUUAUUUAUUCAGCAUCGUAGGGAAUAGAAAUUUCUCUGGCUUGUGUGCCUCGCUCGUCCAGCUUGUAUGUCGUUAACCCAAUCGUCGUUCCAUACGUUCGUUACGCUAAGGCUUUGUUAAGUCACAAAAUAUAUGCGCUUUUUUCAUCCUAAUAGCAUUCAUUUAUCAUCGUAGGAAAUAUAAAUGCAACGGAAGAAAAUAGGAGCAAAGGGGAAAGUUAUGUACAUUUUCUGAUGCGCAGGGAUUACUACACGUGUUCAUGUGCUCCCGAUAUUCAAGCUGUCAUCAUCCGAAGAAAUUGAAGUUUUGGUUUAUUGAAGUGCGGUGCGUUGAUACUUGUUGAACAAAAUUAUUUGAAAUUGACCUGUGACGAUGUAUAUCGGAUAUUUGAACACACUUUUCAUAUGUGUAUUCUGUAGUUUUAGGAUACUGGCCCUGCCGGACCAAAUAACAGUAGGCGGGAUUUUCGACCCAUAUGAUGACCGUCAGGAGUUGGCGUUCCGAUAUGCAGUUGAGCGCGUCAAUCAAGACAAGUCCACCCUCGUGCGAUCAACAUUGAACGCGGACAUCCAGAGGCUUCCCGCUGACGACAGCUUCCACGCGUCAAAAAAAGUUUGUCAGCUGCUGAGGUCGGGUGUGGCGGCCAUAUUUGGUCCGCAGUCCGAGAAGACAGCUAAUCACGUUCAGAGCAUCUGCGAUGCUCUCGAAGUGCCACACAUCGAAACGAGAUGGGACUUCAAGCUGCGCCGCGAUGAAUAUUCCCUGAACCUUUACCCUCAUCCGACUUCGCUCAGUCAGGCGUACUACGAUGUGCUCAGGCGACUCGAGUGGAAGAACUUUGUGGUGCUCUACGACACCAGUGAAGGACUCAUCCGCCUCCAGUCCCUACUCAAGUCCAACGAAUUGAAAGUGACUGUUCGCCAGCUGCACGAGGAUUCGGACUGGAGACCACUUUUGAAGGACAUCAAGAAGAGCCAGGAAACAAAAAUCGUGAUCGACGUGAAGCAGCAUAGAAUUUAUGAAAUCCUGAAGCAAGCAGCGCAAAUCGGACUGAUGAGCGAGUACCAUAGCUACUUCAUCACCUCUUUGGAUCUGCAUCUCGUGAACAUGGAUGACUUUAAAUACAGCGGCGCGAACAUUACGUCACUGAGACUCGUCGAUCCAAACAAACCCGAAGCCGUCCAAUUUGUCGAAGAGUGGAAAUACGGAGAACUUCGCUAUGGCAAAACUAUUGACGAAGACAUCGCUCGGAUAACAACGGAGUCCGCCCUCAUGUACGAUGCAGUGCAGUUGUUCGCUCGCGCCCUCGACGACCUCGACAGGUCCCGUGAAGUGGACAUCACGCCCCUCUACUGCGAGGGCGACAAGACGUGGCCGCAUGGCAGCUCCCUCAUCAACUACAUGAAGUGGUACAGCGCUCAUCGCAGCGAGGCUGAUCUCUUGAACGGAGGCGGGGUUUUUGACACGCGUAAAAUUGGUGGCAUGGGAGCAGUGCCCAACAUGCCUUAUGGAAUGCCAACCAAUGGCAGGCCGGGUAUGCCACCUUUAGUGUCACCUAUGGACAACAGAUACGGGAACUUGAUGAUGCCCGGCGGGAUGCCCUUCACCAACGCAACUCAUCGACCUUAUGACAUGGUUCAGGUUUAUGGGCUUACGGGACUUAUCAAGUUCGACACACGAGGCUUUAGAACAGAUUUCGAGCUAGAUAUCCUUGAGCUGGAUGCAAAAUUCGGACUAAAGAAGGUUGGAACUUGGUCAUUAGCUGGCGGCGCUAACUUUACAAGGUCUUUGGUCGAGUCCUCCUCAGGCAUAACGCUCAACCUACAGAACAGAACUCUCAUCGUCACUACCGCCAUCGUAGCGCCGUACACAAUGCUGAAGGAGACGUCUGAACAGCUAACGGGCAACGACCGCUUCGAGGGCUUCUGUGUGGAUCUCAUCCAUGAGAUAUCGCUGGACCUCGGCUUCAACUACACAUUCAAGCUCGUGGCCGAUGGGAGCUACGGCACCAAAGAUCCAGUGACAGGGGAAUGGGACGGCAUGAUCAGAGAGCUUCUGGAUCAUAAAGCCGAUUUGGGCAUUGUGGAUUUCACCAUCACGUACGAACGAGAGGAGGCAGUCGACUUCAGCAUGCCUUUCAUGAAUCUCGGCAUCAGCAUCAUCUACAAGAAGCCUACGAAGAAAGCCCCCAGUCUGUUCUCCUUCAUGUCGCCCUUCUCUCUGGACGUUUGGAUUUACAUGGCCACUGCCUACCUCGGCGUCUCAGUACUUCUCUUCAUGCUUGCCAGAAUUGCCCCCGAAGAAUGGGACAACCCUCACCCGUGUAUCCAAGAUCCUGACGAGUUAGAGAAUGCCAUAACCCUGAGUAACGCCUUCUGGUUCACCAUUGGUUCUCUCAUGCAGCAAGGAUCAGACAUAGCGCCUAAGGCAGUCUCAACCCGCAUCGUAGCCGGCAUCUGGUGGUUCUUCACCCUCAUCAUGAUCUCAUCGUACACCGCCAAUCUCGCUGCCUUCCUCACCGUUGAGAGGAUGGAAUCUCCCAUCGAAGGGGCUGAAGAUUUGGCCAAACAAACCAAGAUCAAGUACGGGUCUAAACUCGGAGGCUCGACCUACGCUUUCUUCAGAGACAGCAAGAUCCCCACAUACAAGAGGAUGUGGACGGCCAUGAGCACCGCCCGCCCCACGGUCUUCACGAGCUCCAAUACAGAGGGCGUCGAGCGCGUCUCCAAGUCGGACGGCAUGUUUGCGUUCAUGAUGGAGUCAUCGAGUAUUGACUACGAAGUGGAGCGCCGCUGUGACCUCAUGCAGGUCGGCGGCCUGCUCGACUCCAAGAGCUACGGCAUCGCCCUGCCUCCAGGAUCUCCGUACACAAACGUGAUCAGUUCAGGGAUCCUCAAAUUGAAGGAAACUGGAGUCCUUCACACCCUCAAGACGCGCUGGUGGAAAGAACGUAAAGGUGGAGGCAAGUGUACGAUGGAGGACUCGUCGACAUCGACGAGCGGAGCAGCUGAGCUCGGCCUGGACAAUGUUGGCGGUGUGUUCGUGGUCCUCAUAGGAGGCAUGAUAAUGGCCGCCUUCAUGGCCGUCUGCGAGUUUCUCUGGAACGCCAGGGAGCUCGCAACUGAUGAGAAUGCGAGCUUCUGUGAUGAACUCAGUAGCGAAGUCCGAUUCAUCAUGAAGUGUUCCGGUAACACAAAGGCUGUCCGCAAGAAAGGAUCGGUGACUCCAGAAGAACCUUUCAUUUAUGGAUCUUACGGAUCCUCUUCCUAUGGAUAUGUAUCAAGAAAAUGACCUGCCAAACUCUGAAAAAAUCUCAGGCUAAUCGUAUUAUGUACUCGCAAAAAAAUACUCCUUCUCAUUCUAGUUUAAUGUUCGGGAAGUCAGGUUGAGAAAAAUCUUCAGUGCUGUAAAUGAGAAAUGAAUGAGCGUCUAAUUUUUUCCAGAGUGAGAAAGUUAGAUAUCCUAGUACCUAAUGUAUUGUAAUUUUAUUAUCUUCCUAUUUUAGCGCUUAGGUGAAUAUUCUGUGAUCGUCUGUGUGUCGUUAAAUCGUUCAAGAAUAUUUUAAACAAUAAUGACUUAUCAGUGAUGCACUGAAAAAUGGCAGUUUUAUUCAAUGUCGACAAAGCGAAACCCCUCGACGAUGUUGAAAGGGGGUGUUGUGUAAUUGAGGAGCAGUGCAUGGAUGUUCAGAAGGCAAGAGAAGUCAACGUCAUUGUUAUUAGUGAAUAACGACAAAUUGAUUCUCAAAAUUUGUGCAAAACCUCAAUUUAAAACAACCGUGAUAGAAAUAUUUAUUUAACUCGAAAACAAUUUCCUGGCAAACGACGGAAAAAUUAAAUGAUCUCAAACGAGUAAUGGAAAUCUACGAUCCCUUUGACCGGUAUCAGCACAGGUACUUUCCACUCUCGUGAUACUAGGCGCAUUGGAGUUAUUCUCGAAAAAAAUUCUGCUUCAACCUAUAAAAUAUGGUCGCGAAUACAUUUUUUAACAGAAGUUACAUGCCGGAAAAAAAUACGCAGAUGAAUGAAAUGUCGUCAGUGUUCAAAGUCAAAUGAUGAACUGAGUUUAUCAAUUUUGAGAGCGGAUUCAAAGAUGAAAAAACUGUGUUCUUGUGUGUGACUUCUCAGCGCUAUCCAUGUACAUAUCAAUUGUGAAACAAAAACUGGGAUGAAACGAAGCAUGCAUUUAUAAAAAUUUUGCAGCACUAAAUUAAAGAAAUUGUCAUUUAAACAAUUCGACGAAAUGAAAAUUAACGACGUGAGAAUAAAUGUUUAAAUAAUCCAAUAGCAACGCUUCAAAAACAUAAACUACAUUUAAAAUUAUAUACAACUGCCCAUAAACAUCGGUGAAGACGGAAGAUGAGGAGGACGGCGCUGAAGCAGCUGAGCUCGGCCUGGACAAUGUGGGCGGCGUGUUCGUG
rnacentral:misc_RNA from 1 species